rnacentral:rRNA from 1 species
UACGUAGGGGGCUAGCGUUGUCCGGAUUUAUUGGGCGUAAAGAGCGUGUAGGCGGCCAGGUAGGUCUGCUGUGAAAACUCGAGGCUCAACCUCGAGACGUCGGCGGAAACCAUCUGGCUAGAGUCCGGAAGAGGAGAGUGGAAUUCCUGGUGUAGCGGUGAAAUGCGCAGAUAUCAGGAAGAACACCCGUGGCGAAGGCGGCUCUCUGGGCAUGUCCUGACGCUGAGGAGCGAAAGUGUGGGGAGCGAACAGG